GACGGGGGGGGCAAGUGUUCUUCGGAAUGACUGGGCGUAAAGGGCACGUAGGCGGGAAUGUAAGUCGGGCGUGAAAUCCCCAGGCUCAACCUGGGAACUGCACUCGAAACUGCGUUUCUUGAGUAUCGGAGAGGAAAGCGGAAUUCCUGGUGUAGAGGUGAAAUUCGUAGAUAUCAGGAGGAACACCAGUGGCGAAGGCGGCUUUCUGGACGGUAACUGACGCUGAGGCGA
rnacentral:rRNA from 1 species